rnacentral:rRNA from 1 species
UGCCAGCAGACGCGGUAAUACGGAGGGGGUUAGCGUUGCUCGGAAUUACUGGGCGUAAAGCGCACGUAGGCGGACUAUUAAGUCAGGGGUGAAAUCCCGGGGCUCAACCCCGGAACUGCCUUUGAUACUGGUAGUCUAGAGUCCGAGAGAGGUUAGUGGAAUUCCCAGUGUAGAGGUGAAAUUCGUAGAUAUUGGGAAGAACACCAGUGGCGAAGGCGGCUAACUGGCUCGGUACUGACGCUGAGAUGCGAAAGAGUGGGGAGCAAACAGGAUUAGAUA